CUUGGUCAUUUAGAGGAAGUAAAAGUCGUAACAAGGUUUCCGUAGGUGAACCUGCGGAAGGAUCAUUACAGAGCGUGAAGCUAUGCGGAACUUCGUUUCGUGUAGUUGACCCUCCACCCGUGUCGAUUAUCUCAUGUUGCUUUGGCGGAUCGGGCUUGCCCGCGCCCACUUUGUGGGGGAUAUCCGCCAGGGAAGACCAAAACUCUUGUUAUCAGUGAUGUCUGAGGAUGAUAUAUAAUCAUGAAAACUUUCAACAACGGAUCUCUUGGCUCUGGCAUCAAUGAAGAACGCAGCGAAAUGCGAUAAGUAAUGUGAAUUGCAGAAUUUAGUGAAUCAUCGAAUCUUUGAACGCACAUUGCGCCCCUGGGAAUUCCCAGGGGCAUGCCUGUUCGAGCGUCCGUAACAACCUCUCAAGCCUGGCUUGGUAUUGGGACUCGCUGCCUCGGUGGUGGUCCUCAAAAGCAGUGGCGGGCCCAUGUAACUCUCCGCGUAGUAAUACAUCUCGCGACAGAGAAGCAGCGGGACUUGCCAAAACUCCUUAAUUGCUCAGGUUGACCUCGAAUCAGGUAGGGAUACCCGCUGAACUUAAGCAUAUCAAUAAGCGGAGGAGAAGAAACCAACAGGGAUUACCUCAGUAACGGCGAGUGAAGCGGUAACAGCUCAAAUUUGAAAUCUGGUCCGUUUACGGGCCCGAGUUGUAAUUUGUAGAAGAUGCUUUGGUGACGAGUCCGGCCUAAGUUCCUUGGAACAGGACGUCAUAGAGGGUGAGAACCCCGUAUGCGGCCGGGUGCUCGAUGCUAUGUAAAGCUCUUUCGACGAGUCGAGUUGUUUGGGAAU
rnacentral:sRNA from 1 species